rnacentral:rRNA from 1 species
CUACGGGACGCUGCAGUGAGGAAUAUUGCACAAUGGGGGGAACCCUGAUGCAGCAACGCCGCGUGGAGGAUGACGCAUUUCGGUGUGUAAACUCCUUUUAUAUGUCAAGAAAAUGACGGUAGCAUAUGAAUAAGCACCGGCUAACUCCGUGCCAGCAGCCGCGGUAAUACGGAGGGUGCAAGCGUUACUCGGAAACACUGGGCGUAAAGGACGCGUAGGCGGGUUGGAAAGUCAGGUGUGAAAUCCUACAGCUUAACCGUAGAACUGCACUUGAAACUUCUAAUCUAGAGUAUGGGAGGGGGAGAUGGAAUUAGUGGUGUAGGGGUAAAAUCCGUAGAUAUCACUAGGAAUACCGAAAGCGAAGGCGAUCUCCUGGAACAUUACUGACGCUAAGGCGUGAAAGCGUGGGCAGCAAACAGGAUUAGAUACCCUCGUAGUC